UGGGACGGCCCAAAAGUCUAAACCCUAACAGCCCAGCUCUGACAAACUAAACCCUAAUCUUCUUAUUCUUCUUCUCGCUCUCGUUUCUUAUUCAUCAAAACCUUAAACCCUAACCCUCUAUCAUGGCUUCCGGGAGGGUAAGUACCGAGAUGAUGGCGAAAUCCGUCGACGCUCUCCUGAAAUGGCGUCGCUCCCAAUCGGAGACUCAAAAACCGAAGCUAUUCGACGAGGACGAGGAAUUCAUGUACCUAAUCCUACGAUGAAGAAGAUUCCGGCGAAGUCUCGCAUGAACCCUCACAAGGUCCCUCUCCCGCACUCGCUAAUCUCUCCGCUCUCGGAGCAGUGCCUGAUCCUCGACGACAAGCCCAACAAGGCCCGCGUGACAAAGGCCCAGGUCCAGGCAAAGAUCCAGGCCGACUCCAUCCCCGUCGCGAAGGUCCUUAAGCUCUCGAAGCUCGCCUCCGAUUAUCGCCCCUUCGAGGCGAAGCGCAAGCUCUGCGACUCCUACGACCUCUUCUUCGCCGAGAAAAUCAUUGUUCCAUUGCUUCCGCGACGUCAAGAAUGACGUAUACAACCGCUUGCUCGAAACCGGCCACGACCAAGCCAUUUCUAAUCGCGAGUUUCGCGAACACGAGUUACGGACUCGAUGUUAAUAUCGACAGAGCUAAAGACGUUAUGUUGCAUCCAACGCUUCUUGCUUUGCCAAGGGACCCUGCAGACAAGCGUCCCGUCUACUAUAUACGCUUCCUCGAGGGACAAUGUCAACCAAUCAGAAAUCAUCUUCAACAUGACUUUUUUAAAAGUCUGGAUAUAGUUACAACUUGACCUGAGCGUGGAGUAACAAGAUUGGAUAAUGUACAGAAUCAUGUAAAUCUAACAUAGUCUGACUAGAUAAAACUUGGAUGUUGUUUUUUAGGUGCUUGUGGUGCUUUUCCAUAAUCAAAAUUGAAGCUUUACCUUCACAAAUGAAGCAGUAAAGGUUGGCUUGGGUUAGUGAGUUGAAACUUCAAUUUAAUUAGAGAACAACACCAACACCUAAAGAAUAACACCUAAGUUUUGCAAUGAAUCCUAAAAUCAAUGAUACUGUUAUGCCAACAUCUUAUUUUGAACAUACAACCAAUAAAUUUAACCUUUUGGGUGAUUUGUUUGUAUACUUACAGUUUCAAUGUUUGUUGCUUAUGGUAGCACUGAAGAAGAAUUACAUAUGUUGUUGAUUUUGAAAUUUUAGAUUUUUGUGAAUAUCAAAUACCUAUCCAAAAUAUAAAUGUUAUUAGAUUACUUUAACUAUCUUUGCUUCUUAAUUACAAGAAUUUCUUGCAAGGGUUUCACUUUCUCUCUUGUAACUUGUACAUUUUAUAUUCAGUUGAACACUCAAGUGCUUAAGUUGGUAAAUGGUAAUUAUUUGUAAUCCUUAGUAUGUACUAUGUACCGUCUGUUGAUUGUUUUCUUUCUUGGUCUUCAUCUACAUCUAUUUAGUAGGCUAUCUUGCAUAUAACAAUUUCUUCUUGAUGGGACCUUGUAGACACUCAAUUUCAUCCGGGAGCAUACAAAUAAGGAAAUAGACUUCUGUUAUGAAGGGAAUGAACUUCUAAAACAUGCAAACAACAGGACAGGACAUUAGAAGGCCCAAAAGCCCAAACAAGCUAGAAUGGACUAUUGCAAAACCAGAACGAGCUGUUCCCAAUUCCGAACAGGCCGUUCCAAGUUCCUAAAAAGGCCUAAAACCCUAGUUUGGAAUGGGUUGUUCCUCAAUUGGAACGGGCUGUUCCAAACUCCUCAAAAAAGGGCUAAAACCUUAACUGGAACGGGCCGUUCCUAAAUUGGAACGGGCUGUUCCAAGUUAUUAAAAUGACCUACAAACUUUUGUUUGGAACGGCCGUUCCAGUCUAGGCAAUUAUGUGUUAACCUCACCUCUGGAAUGGGCCGUUCUAGUUUCAGAACGGGCCGUUCCAGUCACAAGAUUAACACACAACGUUUGAAUCCAGAACGGGUCGUUCCAGUUUUGGAACGAGCCGUUCUGGAAACCCUUCUGAUGUCUAUAAAUAAACAACUUGGGCAUAGUUCUCGGGGCUCCAAAUUUUAUCUAGACUCCUUAGAGCACGAAAUUUCUCUCUUUUUCUCUCUCUCUUUGAUACAUUGUAAUGUAAAAGGUUGCCAUAAAGC